CCUACGGGGGCAGCAGUAGGGAAUAUUGCUCAAUGGGGGAAACCCUGAAGCAGCAACGCCGCGUGGAGGAUGAACGUUUUAGGAUUGUAAACUCCUUUUGUUAGAGGAGAUUAUGACGGUAUCUAACGAAUAAGCACCGGCUAACUCAGUGCCAGCAGCCGCGGUAAUACGGAGGGUGCAAGCGGUACUCGGAAUCACUGGGCGUAAAGAGUGCGUAGGCGGGGUAAUAAGUUAAGUGUGAAAACCUGUAGCUUAAAUACAGAACUGCAUUUGAAACUGUUAUUCUGGAGUGUGGGAGAGGUAGGUGGAAUUCUUGGUGUAGGGGUAAAAUGCGUAGAGAUCAAGAGGAAUACUGAUUGCGAAGGCGGCCUGCUGGAACAUUACUGACGCUGAUGCACGAAAGCGUGGGGAGCGAACAGGAUUAGAUACCCGAGUAGUC
rnacentral:rRNA from 1 species